CCUACGGGAGGCAGCAGUGAGGAAUAUUGGUCAAUGGGCGGGAGCCUGAACCAGCCAAGCCGCGUGAGGGAAGAAGGUACAGCGUAUCGUAAACCUCUUUUGUCAGGGAACAAAGGCGGGGACUAGUCCCCGGAUGAGGGUACCUUAAGAAAAAGCAUCGGCUAACUCCGUUCCAGCAGCCGCGGUAAUACGGAGGAUUCGAGCGUUAUCCGGAUUUAUUGGGUUUAAAGGGUGCGCAGGCGGCCUGUUAAGGCAGCGGUGAAAGACCUGGGCUCAACCCCGGCAGUGCGGUUGAAACUGGUCGGCUGGAGUGGAGGAGAGGUAGGCGGAAUGCGCGGUGUAGCGGUGAAAUGCUUAGAUAUCGCGAAGAACCCCGAUUGCGAAGGCAGCGUACCGGCCCUAAACUGACGCUGAGGCACGAAAGCGUGGGUAUCGAACAGGAUUAGAUACCCUUGUAGUC
rnacentral:rRNA from 1 species